rnacentral:RNase_P_RNA from 1 species
UUGGUAUAGCAGGUAAUUGCUUUUUAAAAGAGGAAAGUCCGAGCUACCGAGACAGGAUUCCAUUUAACCAAUGGCUAGGGUAACCUAAGGGAUAGUGCAACAGAAAUAUACCGCCAAUAUAUUUAAUAUUGGUAAGGGUGAAAAGGCAGGGUAAGAGCCUACCGAUUUUUUAGCAAUAAAAAAUGCCAUGUAAACCCAAUCCGUAGCAAGAAUAGCAGGUAAAUGUCUCAAUAUUAGCUAUUCGCUAGAAUGAUAUUGUGAAAUAUCAUCAAGAUAAAUAAUUACCUAAAACAGAACUCGGCUUAUAGCUAUGCCAAAUCU